GAAAGAGAAAAAGGAGAGAGAUUUUCUCUCUCUUUUUUCCCUUUUCUUGAGAACGACUCUCCCUCACUUUUUGUUCCUUCUGAAAUAAAAAAAGAAAUAUCAAUUAAUCAAUUAUAUUGAGCAUUCACAUUUUCCCAUCAAGUUUUUGAAACAAUUUUCUGUCUUUCUAAACUCCAAAGACAUGGCGGAAGGACGUCCACUUCCGAAGUUUGGCGAGUGGGAUGUUAAUGACCCGGCUUCAGCUGAGAGGUUCUCUGUCAUCUUUAACAGAGCUCGAAACGAGAAGAAGACGGGCAAGAUAGAUCACUCACCACCAAAGAAAAACUACAAGCAUACAGCAACUCUUGGAAAGCCUCAAUCUAAGAAAUGGUUCUGCUGUAUGCGGUCCAGUGAUGCCGAUUGAUGAACUCUGUUUGCUCCUAGACACUGCAAUGGAAAGUAUAACUUUUUUGAAUACCAUAUGCUAAAUAGUGUUCCAGAAGACUGGAGCUGUAGUCAAGCUGUGAUGGAUCCUGCUGGAAUUAAACUUUGUUAUAUUAUAAUAUUACUCAGAUUACAGCUUUUUGCUACCAAAAUAUAUUGCCCUAUCUAUGUGUUUCAUUUUUUCUAAUCUUGAGUUUGUUAUUGUUACUGUUAGUUAACAAGUUUAACAGCUGAUGCUUGACAAGUUCCGAAAGGAGCUCGUUCUCUUUAUUUUGUCCAAUUUCUUUUGUUUCAUCGA